AAUGGAUCAGAGCUAACCCAAGAAAGAACAAACCAGAGUGAUCAUCAUCAGGUCAAGGAGAUUACAAUCAAAGUGGGAUUUACCAAAAGAGAUUUUAAACAAGUGGGGAACAAGAGAGAUAUGUGCUUGUGCUUAAUUGAGUUACAUCUUCCUAAUUUCGAAAAAAAGGGAUAGAGGAAUCAAUAAAAUGCUGGACCCUAGGAAUGGACUACGUUUCGACAUCGGAUUUGUCACUCACAACUAGGACACACAACACAGUUCCUCUUCCAUUCUCUUGUUUAUCCACUUUUAUAAAAAGAUUACCUUCUUUUUUUUUCUCUUUCUCUCCUGUGGCAUUAUUGAGUGGAGAGAGAGAGUACUUAACUGAUGACACUAGACAUCAGGGAGCAGAUAUGAUCUCCAAUAGAUCUUUGUUUCUUGAUUCCCCUAGAAAAAGACAUGACUUUAUCACUAAUAACGCCAAAAGCAUGUCCCUCACUGUUUAGGAUAUUAGAAUAGUGACCCAGUCGUUUGUGCACAUUACAGAAUAUGAUAUAGACAGGAUCAUAAAAGUUAACAAGGAAAGAUCUUUAGUUACCAAGAAUCUCUGUAAAUAUAUAUAUGUAGCCGAGAAAACAGAAACCUAGGGAUGAUUUCGUUUAUAGCUGUGUCAAUCAACCUAUGAACAAACCAAUAGACUACUACUACUACUAACAAAUACAUGUAUUAGGUCAUGUUCAGCAAACCAAAUCAUAUUGAAUAUAUUGGAAUAGAAGAGUUCUAGUUUCUUCCCUACCAUUUUCUUUCUUUCUUUCCAGAUUCUUAACAAAAUAUCAAAGAAAAUUUAUAUUGGGGUGUGUGUGUAUAGUGGAAGUCUUACUUGUACAGCAAAUGGACUGGUCUUUUAACGGCCAUUGGGAGAUAGUCUCUAUCAUUGAAACUUUUCAGCUAAAGGAGCCUGCAACAAAUACAUAGACUGCAAAAAAAACAAGUACAGCUUGCCUGCAACUGAAUAUUCACUUGGUCGCUUCCGAGCAAAAAGACACCAACUAAGAGUAAAGGAAUAGAUAACAAUUGAAUUCAGGAAUCCAAUAACGAGCAGCAUAAGAGACAUCUGUUCUCAUGAUAUAUGUACAUGAC
rnacentral:lncRNA from 1 species